AUUAUCUAGCCUAAAUUAAUCCUGUAGUUGUCAAAGUGGAAUGUGUUUUGUUUCAUGGAGAUUUUGCCGCUCAAAUCUUCUCUUUCAAAUUGUCGAAAAGAAGAGCUCAAACAAAUUGCGGUGUGCAUUUAUCUCCCCGAUU
ensembl:ncRNA C54G7.13 ncRNA